UAUGUGAUCGUCUCUCGCAUAUCAAUAAGCGGAGGAAAAGAAACUAACAAGGAUUCCCCUAGUAACGGCGAGUGAAGCGGGAAGAGCUCAAAUUUGAAAUCUUAAAGGGUUUUCCCUUUACGAAUUGUAGUUUAAAGAAGUGUUUUCUGUUGAGGUUUUGGUAAAAGUUCUUUGGAAUAGGACAUCAUAGAGGGUGAGAAUCCCGUAUUUGACCUUUACUUUCAACUUUGUGAUACACUUUCAAAGAGUCGGAUUGUUUGGGAAUGCAGUCCAAAAUGGGUGGUAAAUUUCAUCUAAAGCUAAAUAUUGGCGAGAGACCGAUAGCGAACAAGUACCGUGAGGGAAAGAUGAAAAGAACUUUGAAAAGAGAGUUAAACAGUACGUGAGAUUGUCAAAAGGGAAGCGUUUGACACCAGUGUUGUUUUUCUGAAAAUCAAUUAAAGAACUGUUUAUGCUAAGCUGUUUAGACUUUAUCAGCUAUCUGUUUAGUUUUGAGCUUUUCUUUAAUGCACUUUUCAGUUAACAAGUCAACAUCAAUUUCUUUUGCUGUAAAAAAGCUUGAGGAAGGUGGCUUGAGAUUCGUCUUAAGUGUUUAUAGCCUCUUGCCUAUGCAGUCGGAGAGAUUGAGGUCUGCAGCGUAGAUCCUUCGGGGCUAAAUGCAUUUGUGCUAAGUUAUAGCAUUUUAUAGACAACUUGUUGACUAUGAUUUGUCUUGUAGCUUACUCGCUUAUGUUAUUUUACCUACGCUUAGGAUGUUGAUAUGCAUGACUGAUAU
rnacentral:rRNA from 1 species